rnacentral:tRNA from 1 species
GCAGUGGUGGUUCAGUGAUAGAAUUCUCACCUUCCAUGUGGGAGACCAGGGUUCGAUUCCCAACUAAUGGA